GGGUAGCCUAGUGGACAUGGCACCUGCCCGGUAAGCAGAAGGUUGUGGGUUCGAUUCCCCCCCCCC
rnacentral:tRNA from 1 species